GAUAUACUCCCUCCGUUCCAAAUUACUCGUCGCAGAAAUGGAUGUAUUUAGAACUAGAAUACAUCUAGAUACAUCCAUAUCCACGACAAGUAAUUCGGAAUGGAGGGAGUAUAUG
rfam:Triticum aestivum genome assembly, contig: Triticum_aestivum_CS42_TGACv1_scaffold_557760_7AL